UUUCCAAAUCAGCUACCUUGUGUAUAAGCAUAAAAUUCCACAGGAAGGGAACUGCAAGACCUGCUCCUCAUCAUCUACAGCAGGGCACACGGGUCGAGCCCUGGUCCAGGAAGAUCCCACAUGCCGUGGAGCAACUAAGCCCGUGCACCACAACUACUGAGCCUGUGCUCUAGAGCCCGCGAGCCACAACUACUGAGCCCGUGUGCCACAACUACUGAAGCCUGCACGCCUAGAGCCCGUGUUCCACAGUAAGAGAAGCCACUGCGAUGAGAAGCCUGCGCACCGCAAUGAAGAGUAGCCCCCGCUCGCCGCAACUAGAGAAAGCCUGCGCACAGCAAUGAAGACCCAGCGCAGCCAAAAAAAAAAAAAAA